rnacentral:rRNA from 1 species
CCUACGGGUGGCAGCAGUGAGGAAUAUUGGUCAAUGGCCGGAAGGCUGAACCAGCCAAGCCGCGUGCAGGACGAAGGUGCCAAGGAUUGUAAACUUCUUUUGUCAAGGGACAAAAUCAGGCACGAGAGCCUGACUGAGGGUACUUUAAGAAAAAGCAUCGGCUAACUCCGUGCCAGCAGCCGCGGUAAUACGGAGGAUGCGAGCGUUAUCCGGAUUUAUUGGGUUAAAGGGGGGCGUAGGCGGGGUGUUAAGUCAGCGGUAAAAGCCCGGGGCUAAACCCGGGCGAGCCGUUGAAACUGGCUGUCUUGAGAUGUCGGGAGGCAGGCGGAAUGCGCAGUGUAGCGGUGAAAUGCUUAGAUAUGGCGAAGAACCCCGAUUGCGAAGGCAGCAUACCGGCGGCGAUCUGACGCUGAGGCACGAAAGCGUGGGUAUCGAACAGGAUUAGAUACCCGAGUAGUC